rnacentral:rRNA from 1 species
CAACGCUGGCGGCGUGCCUAACACAUGCAAGUCGAACGCGGUUAGUAGCAAUACUAACUGAGUGGCGAACGGGUGAGUAACGCGUGGGUGACCUACCUUCGAGUGGGGGAUAACGUCCCGAAAGGGACGCUAAUACCGCAUGACAUCCUCUUUUUGAACAGAGGGAGAUCAAAGUCGGGGAUCGCAAGACCCGGCGCUUGAUGAGGGGCCCGCGUCUGAUUAGCUAGUUGGUGAGGUAAUGGCUCACCAAGGUGACGAUCAGUAUCCGGCCUGAGAGGGCGGACGGACACACUGGGACUGAGACACGGCCCAGACUCCUACGGGAGGCAGCAGUGGGGAAUUGUUCACAAUGGGCGCAAGCCUGAUGACGCAACGCCGCGUGGAGGAUGAAGGUCUUCGGAUUGUAAACUCCUGUUGCUCGGGAAGAAUGGCUCCGACCUAAUACGUCGGAGUGUGACGGUACCGGGUG